rnacentral:tRNA from 1 species
UGUUCUGUGUCUUAGUUGGUUAAAGCGCCGAACUAGCGAUACGGAGACGUGGGUAUCCCACCAAAACAA